GAUGAACGCUCGCUCCAGGCUUAACACAUGCAAGUCGAGGGGAAACGACAUCGAAAGCUUGCUUUUGAUGGGCGUCGACCGGCGCACGGGUGAGUAACGCGUAUCCAACCUGCCCAUCACUUGGGAAUAACCUUGCGAAAGUAAGACUAAUACCCAAUGACAUCCCACGAAGACAUCUGAAUGGGAUUAAAGAUUUAUCGGUGAUGGAUGGGGAUGCGUCUGAUUAGCUUGUUGGCGGGGUAACGGCCCACCAAGGCAACGAUCAGUAGGGGUUCUGAGAGGAAGGUCCCCCACAUUGGAACUGAGACACGGUCCAAACUCCUACGGGAGGCAGCAGUGAGGAAUAUUGGUCAAUGGGCGAGAGCCUGAACCAGCCAAGUAGCGUGCAGGAUGACGGCCCUAUGGGUUGUAAACUGCUUUUAUAAGGGAAUAAAGUGGGUCUCGUGAGACUUUUUGCAUGUACCUUAUGAAUAAGGACCGGCUAAUUCCGUG
rnacentral:rRNA from 1 species